rnacentral:rRNA from 1 species
AGUGAACGCUGGCGGUAGGCCUAACACAUGCAAGUCGAACGGCAGCACAGGAGAGCUUGCUCUCUGGGUGGCGAGUGGCGGACGGGUGAGGAAUACAUCGGAAUCUACUUUUUCGUGGGGGAUAACGUAGGGAAACUUACGCUAAUACCGCAUACGACCUACGGGUGAAAGCAGGGGAUCUUCGGACCUUGCGCGAAUGAAUGAGCCGAUGUCGGAUUAGCUAGUUGGCGGGGUAAAGGCCCACCAAGGCGACGAUCCGUAGCUGGGCUGAGAGGAUGAUCAGCCACACUGGAACUGAGACACGGUCCAGACUCCUACGGGAGGCAGCAGUGGGGAAUAUUGGACAAUGGGCGCAAGCCUGAUCCAGCCAUACCGCGUGGGUGAAGAAGGCCUUCGGGUUGUAAAGCCCUUUUGUUGGGAAAGAAAUCCAGCUGGUUAAUACCCGGUUGGGAUGACGGUACCCAAAGAAUAAGCACCGGCUAACUUCGUGCCAGCCGCCGCCGUAACAC